UAUAUUAACAUUUUUCGCGACUGUCGUACCUGACCACGCUAUAUUAUCAACGUGUUUGUGCAAGAUUUUUUUCCUCCUCUUGUCUUCAAUCUGAAAUAACUUUUCACUCGUUGCAAGAAAAUCGAUGAAAUUUUCACCAUUUAAAGAGGAUUAGUGUAUGAUCAGAGUGCUGCAAAAGAAUGAUGAUUAUGUUCAUUGAGAGCGCCACUAGAAAAUGUGACAUGAUUCCGGAUUCUAAGUGAACAUACACUCCCGUUCAAAAGUUUGGGGUCACCCCCUCAAAAACAUGUCAUUUUUUUAGGCCCAUAUCUCCGCCAAUUUGCGUCCGAUUUCAAAACUCUAGGUUUCAUUCAAAAGAUAAUAAGUCAAAGAAACUUUGAACAUGAUUUAAAAGAAACUUUUUCAAAAAAAAAUUGUAUGUAAACUUAACCCAAAGUUGCCAAAUUUUCUAAAAAAUGAAUAUAAACUUACGACAGUGUCGCUGGAAGUUGGGUCGACCAAAUUUUAAGAUGAGAGCGGUAAUAUGACCCAUUUUCUAUUAGCUUUCAACUGCUUUUUACAGAACUAAGCUAAAAAAUCUAGAAAAAAAGUUAUUAAGUAAAUUAAUCCUUGAUGUCAUCGGCCAAAAGUUUGGGGUCACUAUCGUAAAACAUGGAAAAGUGAUUUAUUGAUAUCUUUGUCAUCUUUCAUUCAAUUUUAAUUCUUCUUGGAUAUUUGAAACAAAAUGAACGAUAAUUACUGCAUGGACAUUGAACCACACAUAUUUGUUGAAAUUUACAUACUAAAACUUAACGUAAAGUUGCCUCAUUUUUUGAAGCGUGGUAAAAUGUGCUAUCUUUACAUAACAUUUUUAUAUACAAAAAUCGUUAAAUACGUUAAGUUGAAGACAUCAAACGUAAAUUUAGUUAAUUAUCUUUGAAAUGAGCCAAAAAUAAUUAAAAUUGAACUAUAGAUGACGAAGAUAUCACCAAAUCACUUUUCCAUGUUUUACGAUAGUGACCCCAAACUUUUGGCCGAUACAUCAUAUUGAGGGGUGGCCCCAAACUUUUGGUCGAUGACAUCAAGGAUUAAUUUACUUAAUAACUUUUUUUCUAGAUCUUUUAGCUAAGUUCUGUAAAAAGCAGUUGAAAGCUAAUAGAAAAUGAGUCAUAUUACCGCUCUCAUCUUAAAACUUGGUCGACCCAACUUCCAGCGACACUGCCGUAAGUUUAUAUUCAUGUUUUAGAAAAUUUGGCAACUUUGGGUUAAGUUUACAAACAAUUUUUUUUGAAAAAGUUUCUUUUAAAUCAUGUUCAAAGUUUCUUUGACUUAUUAUCUUUUGAAUGAAACCUAGGGUUUUGAAAUCGGACGCAAAUUGGCGGAGAUAUGGGCCUAAAAAAAUUACAUGUUUUUGAGGGGGUGACCCCAAACUUUUGAACGGGAGUGUAUUUUAUUUUGAGAAACUAUUUUAGUUUUUUUAAUGAACAAAACAAUAUUAAUAUGCUUUCGGAAUUCUAGUGAAAGUUACUUCCGAGGUCAUUCGUCGCAUUCAUUCAAGUUUUU